CUUGCUGGAUGCUGACGAGCGGCGGACGGGUGAGUAACGCAUAGGAAUUUACCCGGUAGUGGGGGAUAACCUGGGGAAACUCAGGCUAAUACCGCAUACGUCCUACGGGAGAAAGGGGGCUUUGGCUCCCGCUAUCGGAUGAGCCUAUGCCGGAUUAGCUGGUUGGUGAGGUAAUGGCUCACCAAGGCGACGAUCCGUAGCUGGUCUGAGAGGAUGAUCAGCCACAUCGGGACUGAGACACGGCCCGAACUCCUACGGGAGGCAGCAGUGGGGAAUAUUGGACAAUGGGGGCAACCCUGAUCCAGCCAUGCCGCGUGUGUGAAGAAGGCCCUCGGGUUGUAAAGCACUUUCAGCGAGGAAGAACGCCUGGUGGUUAAUACCCGCCAGGAAAGACAUCACUCGCAGAAGAAGCACCGGCUAACUCCGUGCCAGCAGCCGCGGUAAUACGGAGGGUGCAAGCGUUAAUCGGAAUUACUGGGCGUAAAGCGCGCGUAGGUGGCUUGAUAAGCCGGUUGUGAAAGCCCCGGGCUCAACCUGGGAACGGCAUCCGGAACUAUGAGGCUAGAGUGCAGGAGAGGAAGGUAGAAUUCCCGGUGUAGCGGUGAAAUGCGUAGAGAUCGGGAGGAAUACCAGUGGCGAAGGCGGCCUUCUGGACUGACACUGACACUGAGGUGCGAAAGCGUGGGUAGCAAACAGGAUUAGAUACCCUGGUAGUCCACGCCGUAAACGAUGUCGACCAGCCGUUGGGUGCCUAGCGCACUUUGUGGCGAAGUUAACGCGAUAAGUCGACCGCCUGGGGA
rnacentral:rRNA from 2 species